CCACGCUUCCGGGUUCUUCACGCAGUCAGAUUAGAAAUGGCUAUUCAGAGCAAAUGCUAUUAUAAUCAAAGUUAUAGUUAUGUUAAGCCUAUACUUGUAACAAUUUUUAUUAAAUAAGGGUUAUUAGAACAUGACACCUAUGUUUUAUAGUGAGAAAAUGCACACGUUUAUGAACUAAAAAAAAAAAAUUGCUGGAAAUGUAGAGGGUUGUUCAUUAAUUCUGGUGACAUUAACAUUUAUUAAUGUUUUAAAAAAUGUCAAAAUGUCUAUAUCUUAAAAUUUGCUUAGUACAUUAAGCAGUGCUUUGAAAUAAUCUUAUUGUAUUCAGAAUUGUCAUUACAAUCAGCUGACAUAUCUUGACGAGGCCUUAAUAAAGUUUUUCUAGUUUUUGAUCUGUCAGCUCUCCCAUCAUAUUUAUGAAUGUACAUAUAAUAUUUUAACAUAUAAUAUAUUUUUAAAUAAACUUUAAUAUGAUGUUAUAAACAAUCUUUUUCAACAUUUGAAUUUGAAAGACCUACCAACAGAAUGAGUUGCUAGCAUAUGCUGAAAAUAUCAGUCAUCUGGUUUAACUGCACCACUGCUAAUGCAUGCUUUUGUUCUCUUUACUAUUGCAACCUCUUUUUUGCUUUCUUGUACUGAGAAGCAACAGGAGUUCCUCGAUUUUGAAUGUAUUGUGUUCCUUUAUAUUUCAGGCUAUAAGUGUAGUGUAGCUUGUCUGGUGUUUUUUCAUGUUUAUAUCUUAAUUGUUAACAUCAAUUAAUCAAAUCUUGUUUAACUGCACAUACAAUUGUCAAUUUGUAUAUUGUUAUUCCUUAUUUACUUGUUCCAUUUUUAUUCUUUUAUUAUCUGUUUUUUUCUUCAGUCCUUGUCAUUCUGUUGUACUGCGGAAGCUUCUGUCACUAAAACAAAUUCCUCGUAUGUGUAAACAUACCUGGCAAUAAAAGCUCAUUCUGAUUCUGAUUGUGAUCGUUGGAAAGCCUGUAUAACAAAUAUGCAUAUUUUCAAUAAAACAGACUUAGAGAUAUUUAACUUAGUGGGGUUUUGUUUAGGGGUGGGCUUAGGCAGGAAUCUUCUAUACUUGGGCAGUCGUGGCCUAAUGGAUAGAGAGUCGGCCUUGUAACCCAAAGGUUGUGGCAUCGAGUCUCAAGUCUGGCAGGUAUUGUAGGUGGGGGGAGUGAAUGUACAAGCGCUCUCUUCCACCUUCAGUAUCACCUUGAGCGAGGCACCGAACCCUCGACUGCUCCCCGGGCGCCGCAGCAAUAUGGCUGCCCACUGCUACAGGCAGUGUUGGGAGAAACGCGUUACAAAAGUAAUGCAUUACAGAAACGUAUUACUUUUUGCUGUAACGCAGUAAAGCAUUACUAAUCAAUUUUCAGUAAUAUUUUACUCUGUACAUGUUCAGUAACGCUUGCGUUACUACACACAUUUAGCCCUAAA
rnacentral:lncRNA from 1 species